rnacentral:rRNA from 1 species
UACGUAGGGGGCAAGCGUUGUCCGGAUUUAUUGGGCGUAAAGCGCUCGCAGGUGGUUCGAUGCGUCGUGCGUGAAAGACCCCGGCUCAACUGGGGAGGGUCGUGCGAUACGGUCGAACUGGAGGCCAGAAGGGGGAUGCGGAAUUCCGGGUGUAGUGGUGGAAUGCGUAGAGAUCCGGAGGAACACCAGCGGCGAAGGCGGCAUCCUGGACUGGUCCUGACACUCAUGAGCGAAAGCGUGGGGAGCGAUCCGG